rnacentral:rRNA from 1 species
UACAGAGGGUGCGAGCGUUAAUCGGAAUUACUGGGCGUAAAGCGUGCGUAGACGGUUAUUUAAGUCGGGUGUGAAAGCCCCGGGCUCAACCUGGGAAUUGCGGUUGAAACUGGCGGACUAGAAUCUGGCAGAGGGGGGUGGAAUUCCACGUGUAGCAGUGAAAUGCGUAGAGAUGUGGAGGAACACCGAUGGCGAAGGCAGCCCCCUGGGCUGAGAUUGACGCUCAGGCACGAAAGCGUGGGGAGCAAACAGG